GCACGUAGUUAGCCGGGACUUCUUCUGCAGGUACCGUCAGUUUCCCUUCGUCCCUGCCGAAAGGGGUUUACAACCCGAAGGCCUUCAUCCCCCACGCGGCGUCGCUGCGUCACGCUUUCGCGCAUUAGCGCAAGAUCCCCCACUGCUGCCUCCCGUAGGAGUCUGGGCCGUGUCUCAGUCCCAGUGCGGCUGGCCGUCCUCUCAGACCAGCUACCCGUCGUCGCCUUGGUGGGCCGUUACCCCACCAACAAGCUGAUAGGCCGCGGGCCCAUCCCGGACCGUCGGAGCUUUCCCGGCGCGACCAUGCGAUCGCGCCGGAGUAUCCGGUAUUAGCUCAGGUUUCCCUGGGUUAUCCCGGUGUCCGGGGCAGGUUGCCCACGUGUUACUCACCCGUUCGCCGCUCUCCCCUCGGAAGGGUUACCCCUCCUGAGGUUCCCGCUCGACUUGCAUGUGUUAGGCACGCCGCCAGCGUUCGUC
rnacentral:rRNA from 1 species